rnacentral:lncRNA from 1 species
ACACGGAGGGAAGCGGGAUCAGCACCCAACGCUGAACAUUUGUUUUAACCGCUGCAGACAUCUGGAUCCCUCAGUUACUGAUAGUAUAGCUAUUGAUAGCCAGAAGGCAACUUCCUUUAUACAAGGAUUCCAGUAUGGUUUUCAGUGGAAACAAAGGGCUUCACAGAGAAGGUGUGUAGUGAAGUGUUUUUUAACGGCUUUAUUUUUAAGCUUCCAAUUUUCUGUAGCUGUUUACCAGUUGGCUGUGGUGCUUGCUUUGCAUGGAUUUUUAAUAAAUAGGUCUAGGAAAAUUAUCUCACUUUGAAAACCAUUGAACUUAGAGAAUUUUCUUUAGCUUCAUAUAGCCUGUUUUCUUUGAACAGCAGUACUGAAAAGAUUAUUAAAAUGCUGAACUGAACAAUGAGUAGGAAGAAAAGAAACCAAGUACAAUGUGCUCACUUUAAUGGGGAAAAAAUGUGAUAGAAAUGAGAAUACAGGGAAGAGAAUGUGCAUUAGCCAGAAGCAUUAACUGUAUGUGGGGGCAGGAGGUAUUUUUUAAAUUAAAGCUGUUAAGACAAAUGUAUUUUAAAUAAGCUGCAUAUUUUUAAUUGAAUUCAUGUUUCUGAAUUUGACAAAGAUUGUCAGAAUUUAACUAAGUGAGAUUUUUGACAUAGUUUAAGGAAUUGGUGUGCCAAAAUCUUUUUAUAAAGCAUUUCUGAAAAUCCUACCUCAAAUUGUGCAAUCUCUUAAUUAUUUAAUCCAUUGACUAGUUCUGUGCAGUUCAGAUAAAGCAUCAUAAUUCAACCGCAAAGUCAGUGUAGUGUUCUAUUAAACAUCCAUAUAGAAAACUGAAGGAUAAGGGAUUUUGAAGACAACAUACAAGGUUAAACUAGUAUUUUAAAAUUGAAGUAGGCCUCCUAAAUGUAAUAAUUGCAUAUCUGACUUAGUUAAUACUUCAAAUAUAGUCAAAUCUUAUUAAACUGUACUAAUAUAAUAUAUGUGAUAAUUGAACAGAGUGUAGGUUACCAUUUGUUUAUAUAGGAUCUGGAAAAAUUGGUCUGUUCAACAGAUUAUAGGAAAGUUUUAAAGUGUUUUAAUAAACAAAAGGUCUUUUUGUAUCUUUCUCAAAUACUGUGAAAUUAAAGUUUACAUAUGUGAUUUAGCUAAUGGUUCUUUUAAUUAAAGCAGAGCAGACUAAUUAGCAUAUUGCCCAUUUUACGAAGGAUCCGUAUUGAGCUAAUAACCGGCUUUUCCUUUGCUUUUUCGUUUUACAUGGCUAAGUGGCCUUUAGUUCACUCAGUGAUGUAUGUCUGAUGAGUAAAGUCAGUAUAAGCUCAGAGUUAAUAUUAGGGCUUUGUUAUCUCUACAAACUAUAUAGUUUGGAAUAGGAUGGGUUUUGUUGUUGUUCUUUUCAAAAAAUACCUGUCAUUAGAAAGUCUUAACAGUGUUAGCAUUUCUGGUAAGGAGAGAUAUUUCUUUUCUUUAAAGAGAACUCAAAAUAUUAUCCCAUGCUUUUGUGCCCUUUGCUGAUCUUUGUAACAAUACUAUGUAUAUAACAUUUGUAUUAAAAAGAUGUCUAAUAAUUGGUGAAAAUUUACAAAAUAGUCCUUAAAGAUUAAAAAAAUGUUUUACGUAGACCUACAUGUGGCUGAAGUUUAAAAGACUGGCAUUUCUUAGAUUUUCAAGUUUGUAAGGUGCAGCCAAAAACUUGAAUUUGAUAGAAGUUAUAAAAAUUAUAGCAAAAUAAAGUUAUAUUAUUUGGACUUGGUGGCCUCCACAAUAUAAAGCACUCACUUCAAGAAGAGCAGCUGUGUGUAGAAGGGGUAGGGGUAUGAAAGGGAGUUUGGAGUGAGAGGCAGACACAGGCAGAGAGGACUCAAGUUUGUUAAAUAUGACUAACCACAUGAAAGUCAAUCUAGCAAUUUUCAUUUUUUAGCUGUAACUCUUAUGAAUUACUAAUUUUAUUUUCUAAUUAUAGAACCAUAAAAACCAAAGUUUUGUUUAAAUUGAUUUGCUACCCAUUUUAUGUUGGUUUAUUUCAUAAAAAUUAAUAGAGCCUCCAAGAGAAAGGCUAUUUCUCAUUCAUAUGCUGCAAAAGAUGGGGGAACAUGAAAUUGUAAGAAAGUUGAGUGUACUGCUGUGUCACACAGAGGCUUUGCCAUUGUGUUCAGGAGGAAUAUUAUUGGCAGAAUUCCAGACAUUAUUGCUGGGCUUAGCACCUAAAAAUGUUUUAUAUACUGGAGCAUCUGAAAGUUCCUAUUCAGUAGCAGAACUUCAGGGUAGUUGAGGUUUAUAAUCUAGUCAGUUAUAAUAACAUUGCUAGCAUAUUUCAGUUUUUUGGAUUUGUCUAUUAUUUGACAAUAUAAUUUUUAUUGUCUUUGUCUAUGUCAUAUCUUUAAAUUGGCUAUUGUUUUGUGCUUAUGGAAAAAUACUUUAAUUCUCAAAAACAGUGAUUUCUUUUUUGUUUUUGCCUCUUUAUAAGGAAUAGCAAAUAGAAGUGCUAGUAUUUACUAGAUGCAGUGAUUGCUACAGUUGGUUUUAAGUAAAACAGAUUGUUUUUGAUUAUUUUGAAAUCAGCCCCUAAGGCUCAUACAUGGAUGGGCCUCAGAUUUUGCUAUAAGCUUCCUGUCAUCUGUCAUAUGAGAGGGAUGCUGUGUGAAUCAGUUAUGUAUAUUCCUGUUCUUUAACAUUGCUAAAUUUUUACCAUUAAAAUUUAUGUUGGUUUCUGUUUUCUU